UUCCUGAGAGAUCCCAUGAUCCAGAGACAAAGGUGGCAGCCUUGGAGCAAGUGGAGAGCCAAGAAAAGGAUCCAGAACUGGAGUGGAAGAACAGCUGCUCUCUAGCCUACUUCACUGACAGCACCAGCCAAGUGAAUAGGUUAGAGAAGAGAGAGACAGAGUCUCACUAUGUUGCCCAGGCUUGUCUUGAACUCCUGCCUUCAAGCAGUCCUCCCACCUCAGCCUCUCAAAGUGCUGGCAUUACAGCUGAAGCUAUGCCAUCUUUUAUGUCUGAUGAGGCAGUUUCAUCUGAUUUGAAGAUGAUGAAGAAAAUUUCUUUGCAAGGUUGCUUAUUGAAUAUUACUGGGAAAACAGGAAAAUUAGGAGGAAUGUUCUGGAGUGAUUUAUCUUUUUCAUCA
rnacentral:lncRNA from 1 species